rnacentral:rRNA from 1 species
CCUGGGAACUGCGUUNUGAACUGGGUGACUAGAGUGUGUCAGAGGGAGGUAGAAUUCCACGUGUAGCAGUGAAAUGCGUAGAGAUGUGGAGGAAUACCGAUGGCGAAGGCAGCNUCCUGGGAUAACACUGACGUUCAUGCCCGAAAGCGUGGGUAGCAAACAGGAUUAGAUACCCUGGUAGUCCACGCCCUAAACGAUGUCGAUUAGCUGUUGGGCAGCAUGACUGCUUAGUAGCGAAGCUAACGCGUGAAAUCGACCGCCUGGGGAGUACGGUCGCAAGAUUAAAACUCAAAGGAAUUGACGGGGACCCGCACAAGCGGUGGAUGAUGUGGAUUAAUUCGAUGCAACGCGAAGAACCUUACCUGGUCUUGACAUGUACGGAACCCUCCAGAGACGGAGGGGUGCCUUCGGGAGCCGUAACACAGGUGCUGCAUGGCUGUCGUCAGCUCGUGUCGUGAGAUGUUGGGUUAAGUCCCGCAACGAGCGCAACCCUUGUCAUUAGUUGCCAUCAUUAAGUUGGGCACUCUAAUGAGACUGCCGGUGACAAGCCGGAGGAAGGUGGGGAUGACGUCAAGUCCUCAUGGCCCUUAUGACCAGGGCUUCACACGUCAUACAAUGGUCGGUACAGAGGGUAGCCAAGCCGCGAGGUGGAGCCAAUCUCACAAAACCGAUCGUAGUCCGGAUUGCACUCUGCAACUCGAGUGCAUGAAGUCGGAAUCGCUAGUAAUCGCAGGUCAGCAUACUGCGGUGAAUACGUUCCCGGGUCUUGUACACACCGCCCGUCACACCAUGGGAGUGGGGGAUACCAGAAGUA